AUUGAACGCUGGCGGUAUGCUUAACACAUGCAAGUCGAACGGUAACAGGCCUUCGGGCGCUGACGAGUGGCGGACGGGUGAGUAACGCGUAGGAAUCUGCCUCAUAGUGGGGGACAACGUGGGGAAACGCACGCUAAUACCGCAUACGCCCCACGGGGGAAAGCGGGGGACCUUCGGGCCCCGCGCUAUGAGAUGAGCCUGCGUUAGAGUAGCUAGUUGGUAGGGUAAAGGCCUACCAAGGCGACGGUCUAUAGCUGGUCUGAGAGGACGAUCAGCCACACCGGGACUGAGACACGGCCCAGACUCCUACGGGAGGCAGCAGUGGGGAAUAUUGGACAAUGGGCGCAAGCCUGAUCCAGCAAUACCGCGUGUGUGAAGAAGGCCCUAGAGUUGUAAAGCACUUUCAAUAGGGAGGAAAACCUGUCGGUCAAUACCCGGCAGCUUGACAUUACCUAUACAAGAAGCACCGGCUAACUCCGUGCCAGCAGCCGCCGCGG
rnacentral:rRNA from 1 species